AGAGUUUGAUCAUGGCUCAGAGCGAACGCUGGCGGCGUACCUAACACAUGCAAGUCGAACGGGGAUCACGGGGUUAGCAAUAACUCCGUGAUUCUAGUGGCGCACGGGUGAGUAACACGUGGGUAACCUGCCCUUGAGACUGGGAUACCCCCUCGAAAGGGGGGCUAAUACCGGAUACGUUCCUCGAAUCGAAAGGUCUGAGGAGGAAAGGUGGCGAAAGCUGCCGCUCUUGGAGGGGCUCGCGGCCUAUCAGCUAGUUGGCGGGGUAACGGCCCACCAAGGCUAUGACGGGUAGCUGGUCUGAGAGGACGACCAGCCACACGGGGACUGAGACACGGCCCCGACUCCUACGGGAGGCAGCAGUGGGGAAUUUUCCGCAAUGGGCGAAAGCCUGACGGAGUGACGCCGCGUGUGGGACGAAGGCCUUCGGGUCGUAAACCACUGUCAGUGGGAAAGAUGGAUGUCGGCGCGAUAACCGCCGGCAUUUGACGGUACCUGCAGAGGAAGCCCCGGCUAACUCUGUGCCAGCAGCCGCGGUAAGACAGAGGGGGCAAGCGUUGCUCGGAAUUACUGGGCGUAAAGGGCGCGUAGGCGGGAUGGCAAGUCGGUCGUGAAAUCCCUCGGCUCAACUGAGGAUCGUCGAUCGAUACUGCCGUUCUUGAGGAUUGCAGAGGAGACUGGAAUUCCCGGUGUAGCGGUGAAAUGUGUAGAGAUCGGGAGGAACACCGGUGGCGAAGGCGGGUCUCUGGGCAAUUCCUGACGCUGAGGCGCGAAAGCGUGGGGAGCAAACGGGAUUAGAUACCCUAGUAGUCC
rnacentral:rRNA from 1 species